CAAAUUUUCUUGAGGAGUUGGAUGUCCUGCUGUCCUCCUUGCCGGAGGAUGGUAGGCCACUUAUGGUUCUUGGUGAUUUCAACAUACACCAAGACAAGCCCCAGGCCACUGAAUUGAAUACUCUCCUGGCCUCAUUUGACUUGGAAAAACUACACACCAAAGCAACUCACAGAUCGGGCAACCAGCUGGACCUCAUCUUUACACGCCAGCACGUGCUACACCACCCAGCCCCUGGCUGUCUGACGUCCUUCGUGAACAUCGGACUGACCUCAGGGCAGCUGAGAGGAGAUGGCGGAAAUCUAAAGAUCCAGCAGAUCUAGAACAAGCUGCUGGAUGACAAUCAGUCAGGCUUUAAAAGUGGACACUCCACCAAGACCGCCCUGCUGUUUGUCGCUGAGACGGGCGAAAGCUGAAUCCAGAUCAUCAGUCCUAAUUCUGCUGGACCUUUCUGCAGCCUUCGACACAGUCAACCAUCAGAUCUUACUCUCUACCCUCUCCUCGCUGGGCAUCACAGGAACUGUGCUUGACUGGUUUAAUUCCUAUCUCUCAGCCCAACGACACCACAGUGACUGCUCGAAUAUCUGCCUGCCUGGCGGACAUCUCGGCCUGGAUUAAGGAGCACCACCUGCAACUAAACCCAGCCAAGACUGAACUCCUUGUCUUUCCAGCCAACCCUGAUGUUGAACACAACAUCACCGCGCAGCUGGGUGCAAGAAUCGGUCAGAAAUCUAGGGGUAACCAUCGACAACAGACUAAAUUUCACAGACCACAUCUCAAAGACUGCAAGAUCAUGUAGAUUUACACUCUACAACAUCAGGAAGAUAAGACCCUUCCUCUCUGAACAUGCCACACAACUGCUUGUCCAGUCACUUGUCAUAACUAGACGGGACUACUGUAACGCUCUCAUUGCAGGCCUCCCUGCAUGUGCAACUAGACCUCUCCAAAUGAUCCAGAAUGCAGCAGCAUGUCUGGUCUUUAAUUAACCAAAGAGAGCGCGUUACACCACUCCUUGUCUCUCUUCACUGGCUGCCGGUUGAUGCACAUAUCAAAUUCAAGGCUCUAAUGCUGGCAUACAGAACAGUCACUGGGUCUGCUCCAGCAUACCUAAAAUCAUUUAUGCAGAGCUACGCGCCCACUAGAAGUCUGCGGUCGGCUAAGGAACGUCGCCUUGUUGUACCAACACAAAGAGGCACCAAAACACUUUCCCAGACUUUCAGCUUCAUCAUACCAUGUUGGUGGAACGACCUUCCCAACUCCAUCCGUGAAGCUGACUCACUCUCUGUCUUCAAAAAACAACUAAAACACAUCUUUUCCAUGAGCACUUAACUAGUCAUUAAAAAAAAAAAACUUCUGUUGCACUUUAUUCUAUUUUGAAUACAAUUAUGAUGCUAGUGAUACUUUGUAAUACAGCACUUUUCAUACCACUGUCUCCUAAGAUGAUUCGCUUAUGUUUUCCUCUCUUGUAAGUCGCUUUGGAUAAAAGCGUCUGCCAAAUGAAUAAAUCUAAAUGUAAUUCAUUUCUAUUCUAAGUUCUCAGGAUACAGAGUCAGUUGGUCUAAAUCCGAAGCUUUGGCUCUGACAGCGUACUGCCCAGUAACAGCUUUUCAGCCGGGCGACUUCCAGUGGCCCAAACAGGGCAUUAAGUAUUUGGGCAUUUUAUACCAGCAAAUUUGUCUGAUUUAGUUGAGUUAAUUUUGAACCCUUAAUAAAAAGGUUUGAGCAAUGUGGGCAGGUGGGCUUCAUUACAUUUAUCUAUGAUUGUGAAGGUUAAUGUUAUUCAAAUUAAUUGUAUUCCAAAAUUCAACUACCUGCUACAAUCUCUCCCUGUAGAUGUCCCCCUCUCCUAUUUCAAACAAUUUGAUAGCAUAGCGAAGUCCUUCAUUUGGAAUGGUAAGCAUCCCAGAUUACAUUUUAAUAAGUUACAUAGGCUGAUUGACAAAGGUGGGCUAGACCUACCCAAGAUUUUGUUUUAUUAUUAUGCAUUCAGUCUCAGAAAUUUGGCUUAUCGAUCGCUUCCACCUGAGAGAGGCCUUCCCUGGUUUUGUAUUGAACAGGAAGUUAUUGCCCCUAUUUCGCCAUUGCAAAGCCUUUCUAUCAAACUAACCGGAGAAGUUAAGUUACAUCCCAUUUUCUUGCAUUUUGCACUCGGUAUGGACAAAAGUGUACAGAGUGUUUAAUUCGGACAUUUAUUUAAAUGUUGCCUUGAGAAUAUGGCUGAACCCCAAAUUAUGUAUUAAUAAAUCCCCUUUUUGCUGGUCAGAGUGGAUCGUGAGGGGGGUUACUA